UGUCGCAAAUAACAUCAUUAAUAACCUGUAAAUAAUCAAAUUUGUACACAUUACGUUCCUCUUCACUUUGUAAUAGUAUGUUUUUGGUUUAAUAGUCGGCUUUUAGUUAGUUUUUCUGUCAGUUUGAUCGUCAAAAUCUUGAAAGUUAUCUACAGCCACACAUCCACUGUAUACCAAGUUAUGAUGAUCAAUUAUGAGAAUGCAAAAGGAUUGAUAGAUCAGUAAACAAACAACAAAAAGAUGGGUGCUCAUGGUGGCCUCCGAAUAAAUACAUGGACAGGCUGCUAAAGAGGGUCAGGAUGAUGGAGAUGCAAGAGUCAAAGACAGCACAGACCAAACACCAGGCCAGAAUUCUGCAUGAGUCAGAUUGAGUAAUUUUCACUCUAGAGACCCUGGGGUGACCACCAAGGACGAAUGCAAA